rnacentral:rRNA from 1 species
AGAGUUUGAUCCUGGCUCAGGAUGAACGCUAGCGGCAGGCUUAACACAUGCAAGUCGAGGGGUAUAGUUCUUCGGAAUUAGAGACCGGCGCACGGGUGCGUAACGCGUAUGCAAUCUACCUUUUACAGAGGGAUAGCCCAGAGAAAUUUGGAUUAAUACCUCAUAGUAUGGCGACAUCGCAUGAUGAUGCCAUUAAAGUCACAACGGUAAAAGAUGAGCAUGCGUCCCAUUAGCUAGUUGGUAAGGUAACGGCUUACCAAGGCUACGAUGGGUAGGGGUCCUGAGAGGGAGAUCCCCCACACUGGUACUGAGACACGGACCAGACUCCUACGGGAGGCAGCAGUGAGGAAUAUUGGACAAUGGGCGCAAGCCUGAUCCAGCCAUGCCGCGUGCAGGAUGACGGUCCUAUGGAUUGUAAACUGCUUUUGUACGGGAAGAAACACUCCUUCGUGAAGGAGCUUGACGGUACCGUAAGAAUAAGGAUCGGCUAACUCCGUGCCAGCAGCCGCGGUAAUACGGAGGAUCCAAGCGUUAUCCGGAAUCAUUGGGUUUAAAGGGUCCGUAGGCGGUUUAGUAAGUCAGUGGUGAAAGCCCAUCGCUCAACGGUGGAACGGCCAUUGAUACUGCUAGACUUGAAUUAUUAGGAAGUAACUAGAAUAUGUAGUGUAGCGGUGAAAUGCUUAGAGAUUACAUGGAAUACCAAUUGCGAAGGCAGGUUACUACUAAUGGAUUGACGCUGAUGGACGAAAGCGUGGGUAGCGAACAGGAUUAGAUACCCUGGUAGUCCACGCCGUAAACGAUGGAUACUAGCUGUUGGGAGCAAUCUCAGUGGCUAAGCGAAAGUGAUAAGUAUCCCACCUGGGGAGUACGUUCGCAAGAAUGAAACUCAAAGGAAUUGACGG